rnacentral:rRNA from 1 species
CAGGCCUAACACAUGCAAGUCGAACGAGAGCGACCGGUGCUUGCACUGGUCAAUCUAGUGGCGAACGGGUGAGUAACACGUGGGUAACCUGCCCAUCAGAGGGGGAUAACAUUCGGAAACGGAUGCUAAAACCGCAUAGGUCCUUUAACCGCAUGGUUGAAGGAGGAAAAGAGGCGCAAGCUUCUGCUGAUGGAUGGGCCCGCGGUGCAUUAGCUAGUUGGUGAGGUAACGGCUCACCAAGGCCGUGAUGCAUAGCCGACCUGAGAGGGUGAUCGGCCACAUUGGGACUGAGACACGGCCCAAACUCCUACGGGAGGCAGCAGUAGGGAAUCUUCCGCAAUGGACGCAAGUCUGACGGAGCAACGCCGCGUGAGUGAAGAAGGUUUUCGGAUCGUAAAACUCUGUUGUUAGAGAAGAACAAGUGCUAGAGUAACUGUUAGCGCCUUGACGGUAUCUAACCAGAAAGCCACGGCUAACUACGUACCAGCAGCCGCGGUAAUACGUAGGUGGCAAGCGUUGUCCGGAUUUAUUGGGCGUAAAGCGAGCGCAGGCGGUUCCUUAAGUCUGAUGUGAAAGCCCCCGGCUCAACCGGGGAGGGUCAUUGGAAACUGGGGAACUUGAGUGCAGAAGAGGAGAGUGGAAUUCCAUGUGUAGCGGUGAAAUGCGUAGAUAUAUGGAGGAACACCAGUGGCGAAGGCGACUCUCUGGUCUGUAACUGACGCUGAGGCUCGAAAGCGUGGGUAGCAAACA